rnacentral:rRNA from 1 species
UAGAGUUUGAUCCUGGCUCAGAAGGAACGCUGGCAGCGUGCAUAACGCAUGCAAGUCGAACGAUGAAACAUUCUUCGGAAUGUGGAAGAGUGGCGAACGGGUGAGGAACACGUAAGAAUCUGCCCCUCGGUCGGGGACAACUCUUGGAAACGAGAGCUAAUACCCGAUACGCUGUGGAGUGAAAGAAUUUCGCCGAGGGAUGAUCUUGCGUCUGAUUAGCUAGUUGGUGUGGUAAUGGCAUACCAAGGCGACGAUCAGUAGCUGGUCUGAGAGGAUGAACAGCCACAUUGGAACUGAGACACGGUCCAAACUCCUACGGGAGGCAGCAGUGGGGAAUUUUCCGCAAUGGACGAAAGUCUGACGGAGCGACGCUGCGUGAAGGAUGACGGCCUGCGGGUUGUAAACUUCUUUUCUCGAAGAAGAAGCUCUGACGGUAUUCGAGGAAUAAGCAUCGGCUAACUCCGUGCCAGCAGCCGCGGUAAUACGGAGGAUGCAAGUGUUAUUCGGAAUGAUUGGGCGUAAAGCGUCUGUAGGCUGUAUAGAAAGUCUUUUGUUAAAUGCCUCGGCUCAACCGAGAUCCAGCAAAGGAAACUUCUAUACUUGAGGGAAGUAGAGGUACAGGGAAUUCCCGGUGGAGCGGUGAAAUGCGUAGAUAUCGGGAGGAACACCAAUAUGGCGAAAGCACUGUACUGGGCUUUACCUGACGCUCAGAG